CCUACGGGCGGCAGCAGUGGGGAAUAUUGGGCAAUGGAGGAAACUCUGACCCAGCAACGCCGCGUGAAUGAUGAAGGUCUUCGGAUUGUAAAGUUCUUUUCUAAGGGAAGAAGAAAGUGACGUUACCUUAUGAAUAAGCCUCGGCUAACUCCGUGCCAGCAGCCGCGGUAAUCCGUAGGAGGAAAGCGUUAUCCGGAAUGACUGGGCGUAAAGGGGGCGUAGGUGGUUUGACAAGUUGGUAGCGUAACUCCGGGGCUCAACCUCGGCACUCCUACGAAAACUGGCGGACUUGAGUGCAGGAGGGGCAGAUGGAAUGCCUAGUGUAGCGGUGGAAUGCGUAGAUAUUAGGAGGAACACCAGUGGCGAAGGCGAUUUGCUGGACUGUAACUGACACUGAGGCACGAAAGCGUGGGGAGCAAACAGGAUUAGAUACCCUAGUAGUC
rnacentral:rRNA from 1 species